UCCUCUGAAAAUAUAAGAUAAAGGACCACAUGAGAAACAAUAUAGCACAAACGAUGUUUCUACUACUCCUGUGAAUAUUUAUUGAGUACCUCUUAUGUGCUUGACAUGUCCUGAGCACCUGCUGGUGAUGCAGUCUUCCACCUGCAACGCUAGCCUGGCACAUCCUGUGGGCCAAGUACAUUCCUGGCAGCAGUGGAUUUGCAGAAAUCCUCCAAGCAGAGUUGCAGACUGCACAAGCGGUUGCCUCAUGUGCCCAGGCUGAGAGCUAGAGGAGCAGCUCAGAGAAGGAGAUCCAGCAGGACAAGAUGUGGACCAGAGGAAGAGGAGAGAGAGGAAGAGAAGGAGUAGGGAGAAAAAAGAAAGAGAGGGGAAGAGGAUGAAGAGGAGGAGGAGGAAGAGGAAAAGGAGGAAGAGGAGGAGGAGCAGGAAGAGGAGAAGAAGCAAUCUUGCUCCUUCUUGAAGAUGGAAAGUAUAUAUGUUCGGUCCCUAACUAGCAAAAAUUACUUGAAUCUGAUUUGUAUGUUGUUGAAUUCCUAGAAAAGUACUUGUGCUAAAUUAUAUUUUAGUAUGUGAUGUCAUAGGUUUAUAUUGAAGGUGUAAAUAGAAACCAUUUCCUCCCACAGGAUUUACUGCAGCAUUAACCUAAUUUUACUUUUGUGGAAAACUCUUUCCUCAGGAAGAUAAAAGUUACAUUUAAUUUUU